rnacentral:rRNA from 1 species
AUUGAACGCUGGCGGCAUGCCUUACACAUGCAAGUCGAACGGUAACGCGGGGCAACCUGGCGACGAGUGGCGAACGGGUGAGUAAUGCAUCGGAACGUGCCCAGUAGUGGGGGAUAGCCCGGCGAAAGCCGGGCUAAUACCGCAUACGCUCUACGGAGGAAAGCGGGGGAUCGCAAGACCUCGCGCUAAUGGAUGAGCCUACGUCGGAUUAGCUAGCUGGUAGGGUAACGGCCUACCAAGGCGACGAUCCGUAGCUGGUCUGAGAGGACGAUCAGCCACACUGGGACUGAGACACGGCCCAGACUCCUACGGGAGGCAGCAGUGGGGAAUAUUGGACAAUGGGCGAAAGCCUGAUCCAGCGACGCCGCGUGGGUGAAGAAGGCCUGCGGGUUGUAAAGCCCUUUCGGUGGGGAAGAAAAGCCUCGUUCUAAUACAACGGGGUCUUGACGUAACCCAUAGAAGAAGCACCGGCUAACUCUGUGC